GAAUUAUAAUUUUUCUAAUCGGAAAAGAGUUUUAAUAAAUUUAAACAGAUUUUAAUUGAUUGUCAAUUAAAAUUUUUUGAAGCUAGUGAACUGAAUCAUCUAAGUAACUAGAAAAAAAAUCAACCGAGAGACUGUUAGUAGUGGCGAACAAAAGCGGUAAAAGACUAAUUUUUAAAUAUCAUUAAAUAAAUAGAUUUAAUAGUAAUACAGCCAAAGAAGGUAACACUAUGCAAUUAUGUGAUAGCCCUGUAAAAUCUAUUUUACAAUUUAAAAAUACAAAGUAAAAUUACACAUGUCAUGUGUUGUUUUAAUAUUGGGGUCCCACCCUCAAAGUCUAAAAAAUUUUAAUGAUUGAUAGCGAAUAAGUACCGUAAGGGAAAGGUGAAAAAGAAUUUGUGAAAUUUAAAAGAACUUGAAAUUUAAUGUUGACAAUCAGUUGUAGCUUAUUAUUAAAGUGACAGCGUUCCUUUUGCAUAAUGAAUCAAUGAGUUUAUAUCAAUGGCGAGCUUAAGUUCAAAAUGUAGGCUAAAAAAAAUUAAGUAUUAAAUUGCGUUUUUUGUUAAAACUAUUUUUAUACACAUAUGUUUAGUCUUUGAUAUAAGACCCGAAACUAAGUGAUCUAACCAUGAACAGGCUGAAUUUAAAGCGGUAACGCUUAUUGAAGGGCCGAACUCGUGUAUGUAGAAAAAUACUGAGAUGAUUUGUGGUUAGGGGUGAAAGGCCAAUCAAACUUAGAGAUAGCUGGUUUUCUGCGAAAUCUAUUUAAGUAGAGCGUUUAAAAUUCUUUGUUUUAAGGUAGAGCACUCGAUAAAUAAAGGGGACGUAAAGUUUUACUGCAUUUAAUGAAACUCCGAAUAUAAAAUUAAAAGAUUUUAAACAGACAGACUAUGAGUGCUAAGAUUCAUAGUCAAAAGGGAAACAGCCCAGAUUAUUUGUUAAGGCCCUUAAAAAUAAUUAAGUGAAAAAGAAGGUAAAAAAAUUUUAACAAUCCAUAUGUAGGCUUGGAAGCAGCCACCCUCUUAAGAAAGCGUAACAGCUCGCUGGUUUAGUUUUUUAGCAUCGAAAAUGUACAGGGACUAAAAUUAUUUGCCGAAACAAUAAAUUUAAGUUAAUCUAAGUUAAUUUAAAUGGUAGCAGAACGUUUUGUAAAUUAAAGAAAACUUAUAAUGAUAUAAGUUGGAAAAAUCAAAAACGAAAAUAUUGAUAUGAGUAGCGAAAAACAAUGUGAAUAAUAAACAUUGUCACCUUAAGUUCAAGGUUUUUAAGGAAAGGCUAAUCCUCCUAAAACUAAAUCGGUCCCUAAGACAAAAACGAAAGUUAUAGUUAAUGGGUAAUAAUUUUUUAUUAUAUUUUAAAGUGACAAAAUAUGAAUUUAAUCUUCAUUUUUGAUUUUAAUUGAAGGUUUUUUAAUAUUUUCAGGAAAAAGCUUAAAAUAAUACCGUACCGUAAACCGACACAGGUGAACAAAUUUAGUAAAUUAAGGUGCUUGAGUUAAUUGUAUUGAAGGAACUCGGCAAAAUGACUCUGUAACUUCGGGAUAAGGAGUAGCUUUUUUUGGUAAUUAACCUUAAAAAGCUGUCACAAAAUCGAGGACAGCGACUGUUUAAUAAAAACACAGGUCUUUGCUAAUUUGAAAAAAGAUGUAUAAAGACUGACGCCUGCCCGGUGCUGUAAGCUUAAAAGUAAAAGUUUUGGCUUUUACUCUAACCCCCAGUAAACGGCGGCUGUAACUCUGACGGUCCAAAGGUAGCGAAAUUCCUUGGCAUUUAAUUGGUGUCCCGCAUGAAUGGCGUAACGACUGUCCUACUGUCUCCAAUACAAUCUCAGUGAAAUUGAAAUGUCUGUGAAGAUGCAGACUACUUACGGCUAGACGGAAAGACCCUGUGCACCUUUACUAUAGUUAUAAAUUGUAAUAAAAAUUUUUUUGUGUAGUAUAUGUGGUAAGUUUGUAUGAGACCAUAACGCAAGUUAUUUGUUUAAACAUUAAUGAAAUACCACUCUUAAAAAUUUUUGUUACUCAUUUUUUAAACAGUUUAUAAUGGGUAGUUUGACUGGGGCGGUCGCCUCCUAAAAAGUAACGGAGGCGUAUGAAGGUAAGCUCAAAUUGAAAAAAAUCAAUUGUAGAACAUAAUAGUAUAAUGCUUGCCUAACUGAUAGAUUGACUGAUCGAACAGAGACGAAAGUCGAUUAUAGUGAUCCGGUGACUCUGUGUGGAAAAGGUUAUCGCUCAACGGAUAAAAGGUACGCCAGGGAUAACAGGCUAAUCACUCUUUAGAGACCCUAUCGAUGGAGUGGUUUGGCACCUCGAUGUUGGAUUAUCGCAUCCUGGAGCUGUAAGCGGUUCCAAGGGUUUGGCUGUUCGCCAAGAAAGGCGGUACAUGAUCUGAGUUUAGAACGUUGUAAAACAGUUUGGUCCCUAUCUACCGUAAGUGUUAAAAACUGAAAGGAGUAAACCCUAGUACGAGAGGACCGGGAAAAGUAAACCUCUGGUGUAUCGGUUGUCAUUUUAAUGGCACAGCCGAGUAGCUACGUUUAUAAUAGAUAAUUGCUGAAAGCAUCUAAGCAAGAAACUAACCUUAAAAAAAGUUUUUGAAAAGUCGCGAUAGAUUAUCGCGUGAUAGGCUUAAUGUGUAAGAACUGUAAAGUUUUUAGCUAAUAAGUACUAAAAUUU
rnacentral:rRNA from 1 species